UGGUGCUCUCAGGCAGAAGCACUAUGGUGUGGGCAACAGUCCGGCCACAGAAGUCAGCAUGCCUGAAUUUGAACCUUCUCUCUCUCACUACUCAGGGUACUGAGUAGUUAAUGAAAGAAAAUGAGAAGAAAUGAAGACAUAACUAAAGGAAAGCGAGUCACAUUUGCUUAACUGAAUCAUAUAAAACAAUAGAGUUAUACGUCUGCUUUAAAGAGUCGACACCUAGAGUUUUCCUUUGAAAAGUGCUUAAUCACACCAUUGAUAAAAAUCACAACUUACAAAAAUAAAACUUUUCCUUAUUUUUGUGAUUGUUA